rnacentral:rRNA from 1 species
GGGGGGGGGGGGGGGGGGGGGGGGGGGGGGGAGGGGGGGGGGGGGGGGGGGGAGCUUGGGGGUGGGGUGUUGGCGGCGGACGGGGGAGUGACACGGGGAGCACGGCCGUGUAGGAGUGGGGUAGCGUCGGGAGACCGGCGCUACGACCGGGUAGUAUUUUUGACCGCGUGGUUCCGAGGUUAACGACGGCUUUGCUGUACCUCAUAGCGGGAUCCGGGCGGCAUUGGCAAGUUUGGAAGGUAACGGCUUACCAAGGCAACGAUGCAUAGCCGACCUAAGAGGGUGAUCGGCCACACUGGAACUGAGACACGGUCCAGACUCCUACGGGAGGCAGCAGUAGGGAAUCUUCCGCAAUGGGCGAAAGCCUGACGGAGCAACGCCGCGUGAGGGAUGAAGGUCUCCGGAUCGUAAAACUCUGUUAUUAGGGAAGAACAUAUGUGUAAGUAACUGUGCACAGCUUGACGGUACCUAAUCAGAAAGCCACGGCUAACUACGUG